AGUGAACGCUGGCGGUAGGCCUAACACAUGCAAGUCGAACGGCAGCACAGUAAGAGCUUGCUCUUACGGGUGGCGAGUGGCGGACGGGUGAGGAAUACAUCGGAAUCUACUUUUUCGUGGGGGAUAACGUAGGGAAACUUACACUAAUACCGCAUACGACCUACGGGUGAAAGCAGGGGAUCUUCUGACCUUGCGCGAUUGAAUGAGCCGAUGUCGGAUUAGCUAGUUGGCGGGGUAAAGGCCCACCAAGGCGACGAUCCGUAGCUGGUCUGAGAGGAUGAUCAGCCACACUGGAACUGAGACACGGUCCAGACUCCUACGGGAGGCAGCAGUGGGGAAUAUUGGACAAUGGGCGCAAGCCUGAUCCAGCAAUACCGCGUGGGUGAAGAAGGCCUUCGGGUUGUAAAGCCCUUUUGUUGGGAAAGAAAAGCAGCAGGUUAAUACCCCGCUGUUCUGACGGUACCCAAAGAAUAAGCACCGGCUAACUUCGUG
rnacentral:rRNA from 1 species